AAUCAACGCUGGCGGCGUGCCUCAGACAUGCAAGUCGAACGAUUAAAGCUCUCUUCGGAGAGUGCAUAGAGUGGCGCACGGGUGAGUAACACGUAAGUAAUCUACCUUCGAGUGGGGAAUAACGUCCGGAAACGGACGCUAAUACCGCAUAAUGCAGCGGCAUCGCAAGAUGACAGUUGUUAAAGGAGCAAUUCGCUUGAAGAGGAGCUUGCGGCAGAUUAGCUAGUUGGUAAGGUAAUGGCUUACCAAGGCUACGAUCUGUAACCGGUCUAAGAGGACGGUCGGUCACACUGACACUGAAUAACGGGUCAGACUCCUACGGGAGGCAGCAGUCGGGAAUUUUGGCAAUGGGCGAAAGCCUGACCCAGCAACGCCGCGUGAAGGAUGAAGUAUUUCGGUAUGUAAACUUCGAAAGAAUAGGAAGAAUUAAUGACGGUACUAUUUAUAGGUCCGGCUAACUACGUGCCAGCAGCCG
rnacentral:rRNA from 1 species